CCUACGGGAGGCAGCAGUGAGGAAUAUUGGUCAAUGGGCGCUAGUCUGAACCAGCCAAGUAGCGUGAAGGAUGACUGCCCUAUGGGUUGUAAACUUCUUUUAUAUGGGAAUAAAAUGUUGCAUGUGUGGGAUUUUGUAUGUACCUUAUGAAUAAGGAUCGGCUAACUCCGUGCCAGCAGCCGCGGUAAUACGGAGGAUCCGAGCGUUAUCCGGAUUUAUUGGGUUUAAAGGGAGCGUAGGCGGGUUGUUAAGUCAGUUGUGAAAGUUUGCGGCUCAACCGUAAAAUUGCAGUUGAUACUGGCAGUCUUGAGUACAGUAGAGGUAGGCGGAAUUCGUGGUGUAGCGGUGAAAUGCUUAGAUAUCACGAAGAACUCCGAUUGCGAAGGCAGCCCGCUGGACUGCAACUGACGCUGAUGCUCGAAAGUGUGGGUAUCAAACAGGAUUAGAUACCCCUGUAGUC
rnacentral:rRNA from 1 species